GGGAUAUUAGCUCAAUCGGUAGAGCGUGAGACUCUUAAUCUCAAGGUUGAGUGUUCGACCCCCUCAUAUCCCU